rnacentral:rRNA from 1 species
UACGUAGGGUGCAAGCGUUGUCCGGAAUUAUUGGGCGUAAAGAGCUCGUAGGCGGUUUGUCGCGUCUGCUGUGAAAACUCAGGGCUUAACCCUGAGCCUGCAGUGGGUACGGGCAGACUAGAGUGUGGUAGGGGAGAUCGGAAUUCCUGGUGUAGCGGUGGAAUGCGCAGAUAUCAGGAGGAACACCGGUGGCGAAGGCGGAUCUCUGGGCCGGAACUGACGCUGAGGAGCGAAAGCGUGGGGAGCAAACAGG